rnacentral:sRNA from 1 species
AUUCUGCCCUCGAGCCCACCGGGAACGAAAGAGAAGCUCUAUCUCCCCUCCAGGAGCCCAGCUAUGAACUCCGUCUCCACAAGUAAGUGCAGGAAAUCCUUAGCCCUGGAACUGCCAGCGGCGGUCGAGCCCUGUGUGAGGGAGGGGUGUGUGGCCCAGGGAGGGCUGGCGGGCGGCCAGCAGCAGAGGCAGGCUCCCAGCUGUGCUGUCAGCUCACCCCUGCGCUCGCUCCCCUCCGGCACAGGCGCCUUCGGUCCAGUUGCCUUCUCCCUGGGGCUGCUCCUGGUGUUGCCUGCUGCCUUCCCUGCCCCAGUACCCCCAGGAGAAGAUUCCAAAGAUGUAGCCGCCCCACACAGACAGCCACUCACCUCUUCAGAACGAAUUGACAAACAAAUUCGGUACAUCCUCGACGGCAUCUCAGCCCUGAGAAAGGAGACAUGUAACAAGAGUAACAUGUGUGAAAGCAGCAAAGAGGCACUGGCAGAAAACAACCUGAACCUUCCAAAGAUGGCUGAAAAAGAUGGAUGCUUCCAAUCUGGAUUCAAUGAGGAGACUUGCCUGGUGAAAAUCAUCACUGGUCUUUUGGAGUUUGAGGUAUACCUAGAGUACCUCCAGAACAGAUUUGAGAGUAGUGAGGAACAAGCCAGAGCUGUGCAGAUGAGUACAAAAGUCCUGAUCCAGUUCCUGCAGAAAAAGGCAAAGAAUCUAGAUGCAAUAACCACCCCUGACCCAACCACAAAUGCCAGCCUGCUGACGAAGCUGCAGGCACAGAACCAGUGGCUGCAGGACAUGACAACUCAUCUCAUCCUGCGCAGCUUUAAGGAGUUCCUGCAGUCCAGCCUGAGGGCUCUUCGGCAAAUGUAGCAUGGGCACCUCAGAUUGUUGUUGUUAAUGGGCAUUCCUUCUUCUGGUCAGAAACCUGUCCACUGGGCACAGAACUUAUGUUGUUCUCUAUGGAGAACUAAAAGUAUGAGCGUUAGGACAC